CCAGCAGCCGCGGUAAUACGAAGGGUGCAAGCGUUACUCGGAAUUACUGGGCGUAAAGCGCACGUAGGCGGAUUUGCCAGUCAGGGGUGAAAUCCCGGGGCUCAACCUCGGAACUGCCCUUGAUACAGCAAAUCUCGAGUCCGGAAGAGGUGAGUGGAAUUCCUAGUGUAGAGGUGAAAUUCGUAGAUAUUAGGAAGAACACCAGUGGCGAAGGCGGCUCACUGGUCCGGCACUGACGCUGAGGUGCGAAAGCGUGGGGAGC
rnacentral:rRNA from 1 species